rnacentral:lncRNA from 1 species
GAAUCAAGAUAGAAUCUAUCAACCUUGAUAGAAAGGAGUAGUCCUAUAAAAAUUAAAAAGCUAAGUCUGAGAGUCUGUGGUCAUAGCAGUGUGAUUGAUGGAAAAUUUUUUUUAUAAGAAUCAUAAUUGGACUUAAGCUGAUCGAAUCUAUCAUAUGACUGAUGAUGAGGUUUGAUGAUUUAUCCAUGAUCUGCCAUCU